rnacentral:lncRNA from 1 species
AGUGUUUGGGAGGGUGAAUCGAAAGGAAGAAUCGUUUGGGAGAGUGAAUCGAAUCAACAAAACUGGUAAGUUUUUAACUAGAUUGGUUUAAUAAUGUCAUGAAUUGAUGAAUUAAUCGUUUGUAUUGAAUAAAUUUGAUGAAAAUCGGUUAGGGUUCAUGUGGAUUUGGUAAUUAGGGUUUCAGAAAAUUUGGGGAUCUUUAAUUUCGUGUUUGAAUUUGCUAAUUGUUGGUGUCCUUAUGCAUGAUUGUAACGAUUAUGGGACAUGCUUGUUUGAAAAUGAUUAGGUUUUGUGGAUUUUUGGUUUCAAUUACUCUUUGUGUAUACCUAAUUUCUCUCUAUUUUUUAGGUUCAAUUGGAGAUGUCUGGAGUUCUUACCCCGUAGGAGAUGAUAGCAAGUACAUUGGUGAUGCAAAACAAGGAAAUACACUCAGUUCCAACACACGGAUUUGGCUUAACAUAACUCUGGUAUGUGUUGUAUCAAUUGAUUAAUGUGUUUGCUUGUUUUGGAGAUUGCUAGGAUUGGUUGUUGUCUGUUUUGGCAUCUUUGUGUAUAUGUUGUUCUCUGUUUUUUGAUUGUGUAUAUGUAUUGCUUUGGCUUCUAGGUGUAAAUGUUGUUGAUUGAUUUGGUUAGUCGUGGAUUAUGUCUAAGUAAUCAAUUGUGUAUUAGUAUAUUGUUGUGAUUGGAUUCUGUUUUAGUAUAUGGUAAUCGAUUGUGUAGAAGUGUAAGUUUAGUUGACUGUUUUGGAUUGUGUAGAAGUGUAAGUAUUGUUGUCUGUUUUGGAUUGUGUAUAAGUAUUGAUUUGGUUGGUCUUGUAUUGAUGUAUUUGGUUAGUCUUGGAUUAUGUCUAAGUAUGUGGUUGAUAUAAGUAUAUUGUUGUGAUUGGAUUCUGUUGUAGUAUAUGGUAAUCGAUUGUGUAGAAGUGUAAGUUUUGUUGGAUGUUUGGAUUGUGUACAAGUGUAAGUAUUGUUGACUGUUUUGGAUUGUGUAUAGGUAGUGUUGUAUUGUUGUCUGUUUUGGAUUGUGUAUAAGUAUUGAUUUGGUUAGUCUUGUAUUGAUGUAUUUGGUUAGUCUUGGAUUCUGUCUAAGUGUGUGGUUGAUAUAAUUAUAUUGUUGUGAUUGGAUUCUGUUGUAGUAUAUGGUAAUCGAUUGUGUAGAAGUGUAAGUAUUGUUGUCUGUUUUGGAUUGUGUAUAAUAGUGUUGAGAUUGGAUUGUGUAGACUGAUAUGGCUUCUUUUAAGAAAAAUAUGGUUGUGUUGUAUUGAUUAUGUAUUGGCUGUUGAAUUGAUUGUAUGUAUUGAAGCUGUCCGUAAUACCAAAAUCACGAAAAUAUGUUUCAUUCUCGAGUGAAAGACGGGAUUAGCGGAGAGAUAUGUGGCGCCAACAUUGUCACAGUAAAUUACCGGUGGCUGAGGAACGUGGACACCAAGUUCAGUGAGAAGUGUCAUCACCCACGCCAGCUCCGCCGCCGCGUUUGCAAGGCACGGUAUUCAGCCUCCGUAGAGGAGCGAGCAACGCCACUCUAUUUCUUGGACGACCACGAGAUUAAAUUUCCGCCAAGGUAGACAAGAUAUGCAUUUGUGGGGAUGCAAUUAUCUAGAUUCCGAGACCAGUCCGCGUCCGAGUAGGCAUGAAGGCUGAUCGGUGUGUUAGCCCAGAGAAAGAUUUCGUGUGUCGACGUUCUAGCCAAGUAACGGAGAAUUUGCUUAGCCGCUUGCCAAUGGAGAUCAGUGGGCUUGUGCAUGAACUGAGACAAACAGUUGACGGCAAAGGCAAUGUCCGGACGUGUGAAGGCAAGAUACUGCAAGCUACCGAGAACCGUUCGAUACUCACUUGGAUUUUCAUGCGGCGAGCCGGAAGUGAGUGUGAGCGGUGUUGGUUGAUUGGUGUGGUUACCGGUUUAGCAUUCAGCAUAUUCGUCUUUGUCAACAGAUCAAUGAUAUAAAGACGUUGCAUCAAGUGGAGCCCUUGUGAAGUCCGUGUAGCUUCGGCGCCCAAGAAAUAACUCAUUUCUCCUAGGUCCUUGAGAGAAAAACAAGAGGCUAGAUGAGCUAUAAAUGUGGUGAGGAGAGCAUCAUUAUUACCCGUGAUAAGCAUAUCAUCGACGUAGACAAGGACAUAGAUGAUAUCCGAGCCACGUUGUUGAAUGAAAAGAGAGGCAUCUGCCACGGAGUUGAUGAAGCCGAGUUGUUGGAGGUAGGUCAGCAGCUCCUGGUACCAAGCACGGGGAGCUUGCUUGAGACAAUAAAGAGUUUUAGGGAGUCGACACACAUAAUGAGGUCGGUCUUUGUCUACAAAGCCGGGAGGUUGUGAGACAUAGACUUCAUCCGUUAGAGUGCCCUGCAAGAAAUCAUUAUUGACAUCUAUUUGGCGUAGGCGCCAUCCUUUGCUCACGGUGACAUGGAGAACCGAACGGACAGUUGUGGAUUUGAUCACUGGACUGAACGUUUCAGUGAAAUCAUGGCCAUAUUGUUGAUUGAAUCCCUUUGCCACUAGCCUUGCUUUAUACAUGUCAAGUUCACCAUUAGGGAGAUAUUUUAGUGUAAAUAUCCACUUACAACCAAUGACGUUUUGAUGAGGCUUUGGAGGUACAAGAUUGUACGUCCCAUUACGUGUUUGAGCAUUGAUCUCAUCAUACAUGGCCUGUCGCCAAUUAGAAUCCUGCAACACCUCCGUAACGGUUUUGGGUAUUUGUCGUUUCAAUUUGGGAAUGGAGGCAAUAAGCGACAGUUUGGUAUUUGGCUUGGUGAUUUGGUUUUUGGCACGUGUUUGCAUAGGGUGAUUAUUUUGCGGUGGUGGUGGAUUAACAUGAUUUGGUAAGGGAGGUGGUGUGGGAGAGCGUGGUUGAGGAGUUGGUUGUCGCGGUGGUGAUGAGGAGAAGGAAGAGGAUGAAGACGUUGGGUUUGAGUGUGUUGGGCUUGGUGAAUGACUUGAUAGGCUUAGUGUUGGUGAUGGGCCGAGUAGAGAGUUGUGGCCCAGGCCAGAGGGUGUAGAGGCCGUUAGUGACAAAGGCGUUGCAAGGAGAAUCGCAGAACGAGUGGUCGAGGCUGUGUGAGCUGGUGAUGUCGGCGGGUGAGGAUCCAAGCGCGGAGGCGGCGGCGGUGUAGAAUGAGCUGUGAGAAACGACAAGUGGACCGGAACCGAGACUGAUGAGACAUUCGAGACAGUUUCCGGUGCCGGCGACAGUGACGAUGGUACCGCCGUGUGAGACAAAUUAAAUGGAAAGGUUGACUCAACAAAAUGAACA